rnacentral:rRNA from 1 species
AUACGUAGGGGGCGAGCGUUGUCCGGAAUUACUGGGCGUAAAGGGUGCGUAGGCGGUCUUUUAAGUCAGAUGUGAAAUACCAGGGCUCAACCUUGGGGGUGCAUUUGAAACUGGGGGACUUGAGUGCAGGAGAGGAAAGUGGAAUUCCUAGUGUAGCGGUGAAAUGCGUAGAGAUUAGGAGGAACACCAGUGGCGAAGGCGACUUUCUGGACUGUAACUGACGCUGAGGCACGAAAGCGUGGGGAGCAAACAGGAUUAGAUACCCUGGUAGUCCACGCCGUAAACGAUGGAUACUAGGUGUAGGGGGUAUCGACCCCCUCUGUGCCGGAGUUAACGCAACAAGUAUCCCGCCUGGGGAGUACGGCCGCAAGGUUGAA